UACGGGGGGGGCAAGCGUUGUUCGGAAUUACUGGGCGUAAAGAGCGCGCAGGCGGUCGUUCAAGUCGGAUGUGAAAUCUCCCGGCUCAACUGGGAGGGGUCAUUCGAUACUGGCGGGCUCGAGGCCGGUAGGGGGAAGCGGAAUUCCCGGUGUAGUGGUGAAAUGCGCAGAUAUCAGGAGGAACACCGGUGGCGAAGGCGGCAUCCUGGACCGGCAUUGACGCGUGAGGCGCGAAAAGCCAG
rnacentral:rRNA from 1 species